rnacentral:rRNA from 1 species
UACGAAGGGGGCUAGCGUUGCUCGGAAUCACUGGGCGUAAAGGGUGCGUAGGCGGGUCUUUAAGUCAGGGGUGAAAUCCUGGAGCUCAACUCCAGAACUGCCUUUGAUACUGAAGAUCUUGAGUCCGGGAGAGGUGAGUGGAACUGCGAGUGUAGAGGUGAAAAUUCGUAGAUAUUCGGAAGAACACCGGUGGCGAAGGCGGCGACCUGGUCCGAUACUGACGCUGAGGCGCGAAAGCGUGGGGAGCAAACAGG